GAUGAACGCUGGCGGCGUGCCUAAUACAUGCAAGUCGAGCGAACAGACGAGGAGCUUGCUCCUCUGACGUUAGCGGCGGACGGGUGAGUAACACGUGGAUAACCUACCUAUAAGACUUGGCUAACUUCGGGAAACCGGAGCUAAUACCGGAUAAUAUAUUGAACCGCAUGGUUCAGUAGUGAAAGACGGUUUUGCUGUCACUUAUAGAUGGAUCCGCGCCGCAUUAGCUAGUUGGUAAGGUAACGGCUUACCAAGGCGACGAUGCGUAGCCGACCUGAGAGGGUGAUCGGCCACACUGGAACUGAGACACGGUCCAGACUCCUACGGGAGGCAGCAGUAGGGAAUCUUCCGCAAUGGGCGAAAGCCUGACGGAGCAACGCCGCGUGAGUGAUGAAGGUCUUCGGAUCGUAAAACUCUGUUAUUAGGGAAGAACAAAUGUGUAAGUAACUAUGCACGUCUUGACGGUACCUAAUCAGAAAGCCACGGCUAACUACGUG
rnacentral:rRNA from 1 species